rnacentral:sRNA from 1 species
GCUGGGCAUGGUGGCACACACCUGCAAUCCCAGCUACUUGGGAGGCUGAGGCAGCAGGAUUGCAUGAGCCCAGGAACUUAAGACCAGCCUAGGCAAUAUAGAAAUUAGCAUU